rnacentral:rRNA from 1 species
GUAAGGAAUAUUGGUCAAUGGACGGAAGUCUGAACCAGCCAUGCCGCGUGCAGGAAGACGGCCCUACGGGUUGUAAACUGCUUUUGUACGGGAAUAAACCCAGGUACGUGUACCUGGCUGAAUGUACUGUAAGAAUAAGGAUCGGCUAACUCCGUGCCAGCAGCCGCGGUAAUACGGAGGAUCCAAGCGUUAUCCGGAUUUAUUGGGUUUAAAGGGUGCGUAGGCGGCUUAUUAAGUCAGGGGUGAAAGGCGGUAGCUUAACUAUCGGAGUGCCCUUGAUACUGAUGAGCUUGAAUGCAGCUGAGGUAGGCGGAAUGUGACAAGUAGCGGUGAAAUGCAUAGAUAUGUCACAGAACACCGAUUGCGAAGGCAGCUUACUAAAGUGUGAUUGACGCUGAGGCACGAAAGCGUGGGGAUCAAACAGG